rnacentral:piRNA from 1 species
GACUUGGAUGCCCAUGGAAUUAUCUUC